rnacentral:rRNA from 1 species
AUUGAACGCUGGCGGCAGGCUUAACACAUGCAAGUCGAGCGGGGAAAGGUAGCUUGCUACCUGACCUAGCGGCGGACGGGUGAGUAAUGCUUAGGAAUCUGCCUAUUAGUGGGGGACAACAUUCCGAAAGGAAUGCUAAUACCGCAUACGCCCUACGGGGGAAAGCAGGGGAUCUUCGGACCUUGCGCUAAUAGAUGAGCCUAAGUCAGAUUAGCUAGUUGGUGGGGUAAAGGCCUACCAAGGCGACGAUCUGUAGCGGGUCUGAGAGGAUGAUCCGCCACACUGGGACUGAGACACGGCCCAGACUCCUACGGGAGGCAGCAGUGGGGAAUAUUGGACAAUGGGCGAAAGCCUGAUCCAGCCAUGCCGCGUGUGUGAAGAAGGCCUUUUGGUUGUAAAGCACUUUAAGCGAGGAGGAGGCUACCGAGAUUAAUACUCUUGGAUAGUGGACGUUACUCGCAGAAUAAGCACCGGCUAAC